GGAUCGAUGAAGAGAACACUUCCCUGAGGACGCUGAGGGACUCGUUUCAGAUGUCAAUCUGAGGUCC
rfam:Fukomys damarensis contig155067, whole genome shotgun sequence.